rnacentral:misc_RNA from 1 species
AAGACUAUAGACCUGCGGAGUACCUGCGGAAGGAUCAUUACCGAGUUAUCCAACUCCCAACCCCUGUGAAUCAUACCUUUAAUUGUUGCUUCGGCGGGACUUCGCGCCCGCCGGGGACCCAAACCUUCUGAAUUUUUUAAUAAGUAUCUUCUGAGUGGUUAAAAAAAAUGAAUCAAAACUUUCAACAACGGAUCUCU